rnacentral:rRNA from 1 species
AAUUUGAGAGCUUGCUCAGAUAUGACGAUGGACAUUGCAAAGAGUGGCGAACGGGUGAGUAACACGUGGGAAACCUACCUCUUAGCAGGGGAUAACAUUUGGAAACAGAUGCUAAUACCGUAUAACAAUGACAACCGCAUGGUUGUUAUUUAAAAGAUGGUUCUGCUAUCACUAAGAGAUGGUCCCGCGGUGCAUUAGCUAGUUGGUAAGGUAAUGGCUUACCAAGGCGAUGAUGCAUAGCCGAGUUGAGAGACUGAUCGGCCACAAUGGGACUGAGACACGGCCCAUACUCCUACGGGAGGCAGCAGUAGGGAAUCUUCCACAAUGGGCGAAAGCCUGAUGGAGCAACGCCGCGUGUGUGAUGAAGGGUUUCGGCUCGUAAAACACUGUUGUAAGAGAAGAAUGACAUUGAGAGUAACUGUUCAAUGUGUGACGGUAUCUUACCAGAAAGGAACGGCUAAAUACGUGCCAGCAGCCGCGGUAAUACGUAUGUUCCAAGCGUUAUCCGGAUUUAUUGGGCGUAAAGCGAGCGCAGACGGUUAUUUAAGUCUGAAGUGAAAGCCCUCAGCUCAACUGAGGAAUUGCUUUGGAAACUGGAUGACUUGAGUGCAGUAGAGGAAAGUGGAACUCCAUGUGUAGCGGUGAAAUGCGUAGAUAUAUGGAAGAACACCAGUGGCGAAGGCGGCUUUCUGGACUGUAACUGACGUUGAGGCUCGAAAGUGUGGGUAGCAAACACGAUUAGAUACCCUGGUAGUCCACACCGUAAACGAUGAGUGC